rnacentral:lncRNA from 1 species
AAUAUUUGCUUCCACGUUUGAGAGAGAAAAUAACUAAGUUGGUCUAACAAUCUAAGAGACAUGAUGGGAAUUCUUUCAGAAGAGGUGGCUUUAUCUAAUGAACGAGGACUGUUAUGUUUAUCAUCUUAGCUUUAGGAGGGAGUACAUUGAGUGGUUAAAUUGAAGCUUGUUUUAAAAAUUGAGGACCAACCAUGAAUACUGUUGCUUAAAUGGUUACCAGUGAGACUUUUAGUGCAGCAUCAGCAAGGGAGAACAAUCC